rnacentral:rRNA from 1 species
GAUGAACGCUGGCGGCGUGCCUAACACAUGCAAGUCGAACGAAGCACCUUUUAAGAUUCUCCGGAUGAUUAAUCGGUGACUGAGUGGCGGACGGGUGAGUAACGCGUGGGUAACCUGCCCUGUACAGGGGGAUAACAGUUGGAAACGGCUGCUAAUACCGCAUAAGCGCACGAGAGGACAUCAUCUUGUGUGAAAAACUCCGGUGGGACAGGAUGGGCCCGCGUCUGAGUAGCUGGUUGGCAGGGUAACGGCCUACCAAGGCGACGAUCAGUAGGCGGUCUGAGAGGAUGAACGGCCACAUUGGAACUGAGACACGGUCCAAACUCCUACGGGAGGGAGCAGUGGGGAAUAUUGCACAAUGGGGGAAACCCUGAUGCAGCAACGCCGCGUGAGUGAAGAAGUAUUUCGGUAUGUAAACUUCUAUCAGCAAGGAAGAAAAUGACGGUACUUGACUAAGAAGCCCCGGCUAAAUACGUGCCAGCCGCCGCAGUAA